AGAGUUUGAUCCUGGCUCAGGAUGAACGCCGGCGGUGUGCCUAAUACAUGCAAGUCGAACGCGUUGGCCCAAUUGAUUGAUGGUGCUUGCACCUGAUUGAUUUUGGUCGCCAACGAGUGGCGGACGGGUGAGUAACACGUAGGUAACCUGCCCAGAAGCGGGGGACAACAUUUGGAAACAGAUGCUAAUACCGCAUAACAACGUUGUUCGCAUGAACAACGCUUAAAAGAUGGCUUCUCGCUAUCACUUCUGGAUGGACCUGCGGUGCAUUAGCUUGUUGGUGGGGUAACGGCCUACCAAGGCGAUGAUGCAUAGCCGAGUUGAGAGACUGAUCGGCCACAAUGGGACUGAGACACGGCCCAUACUCCUACGGGAGGCAGCAGUAGGGAAUCUUCCACAAUGGGCGCAAGCCUGAUGGAGCAACACCGCGUGAGUGAAGAAGGGUUUCGGCUCGUAAAGCUCUGUUGUUAAAGAAGAACACGUAUGAGAGUAACUGUUCAUACGUUGACGGUAUUUAACCAGAAAGUCACGGCUAACUACGUGCCAGCAGCCGCGGUAAUACGUAGGUGGCAAGCGUUAUCCGGAUUUAUUGGGCGUAAAGAGAGUGCAGGCGGUUUUCUAAGUCUGAUGUGAAAGCCUUCGGCUUAACCGGAGAAGUGCAUCGGAAACUGGAUAACUUGAGUGCAGAAGAGGGUAGUGGAACUCCAUGUGUAGCGGUGGAAUGCGUAGAUAUAUGGAAGAACACCAGUGGCGAAGGCGGCUACCUGGUCUGCAACUGACGCUGAGACUCGAAAGCAUGGGUAGCGAACAGGAUUAGAUACCCUGGUAGUCCAUGCCGUAAACGAUGAGUGCUAGGUGUUGGAGGGUUUCCGCCCUUCAGUGCCGGAGCUAACGCAUUAAGCACUCCGCCUGGGGAGUACGACCGCAAGGUUGAAACUCAAAGGAAUUGACGGGGGCCCGCAC
rnacentral:rRNA from 1 species